GUGCGUUCUCCAACUGUUACGCACACGACACAAGCAUAGUGCGCGCGUGUAUCCUACAGAGAGAUACACAGAGGGUUUCUAUCUAUUGGAUUAAUGGCGCCCAGGAAACGAAGAGUCGUGGAGGAAGAACCAGCAAAGUCCAAGUUGCCAACGAGGGUGACUCGGAGCGCGGCCAAGCGAGCGGCCAAUCCAAACUCGGCUGACUUCGUGUCUGAGGGGCCCCGGACCGACUUACCGAAGAAGAAGGCCAAGAAGGUCGUGAGCAAAGAAGAGCAAGGGAAGGAAAUUUCGAAAGCGGCGAAGACGAAGACCAUAGUGAUUGAGCACUGGAAGCUGGUUAGGGCUUUCCAUAAUUAUGGCAAGGACCGAGUGAAUCUGGUUUCGAUAGCAGUUAUUACAUGUAAAGCUACUGUGAGUCGAAGUCUUGUUAGGUGUAAGAUGCCAUUUUCUUUGAUGAUCAUGGAGAAUAUUUCUGAAGAGCAAACAAUGCAAUUCAUUCAAGACAAGGGCCAUUAGGGUGAAAGAAGGUUUGGAGAAAGGUGUUUCUGGUGUCACAGUGCUGGUCAAUCCCAAUAAGUUUACCCGGUCGAUUGGAUUUAUGGUUCAUUUGUUGCCGGGGAAAAAGGUGGUGUUUUUUAUUUAGCGAUGAAACUAUUAGAAUGCUUGUAGUCCAAACAGAAUCAGACCUACAAAACCUCAUGUCCUCAUUGCCACUACAAUUACGAAUACCUCAUCUGUCAUUUUCAAGGAUCUUCAAUUCGAAUGCCUUAUCUUGAAUAUGCUCUGCCAACUUCCAUGUGAUAUAUGGUGCCACGAUCAUCGACACAUGCCAUCUUUUGAUUAUCCACAACUUCUGUGCUUGCUAUAUAUGGCCACAUUUUUCGAAGUCAAAAUGAAGUCCCUUAGCUGAUGAAUUAAAUCUAAAUUUUGGUAAACUUUCUUCUUUUAUUAACUUGUCAGUUAUGCCAUUCCUUGUUUGCUUUGUGCGUAUAAAUCAUGUGAACAAUUCCUGUUCUGUGCCACUAAAGCUUAAAUCUUAUUUUCUUGGAAAAAAAGUUUCUUUUUGUCGUAAAUACUAAUUGAUUUUUCCACCGUUCUGAAAUAAUCAUGCAUAAAAUUGCUUCCAAAUAACUCCGAAAAUUACCAAAAUAUUGUAUUGGUUACUGUUUGCAGCUCCAAAACAGCCACCAGGUUUUUCUCCUUGUUUCAUUUCCAAGUCCUACUCUUACAUACCACAAUUAACAAUACAUCCUUUGUUGGAUAGACUUAUUUUUUCUUAUUAGAUACUUCUGAUCUUAAGAGACAGUGAACUUAAGGUUACUAGAAACAAAAAGUCAUCUUAUAGGUCCAAAUUGUCUGUUUCCUCACUCUUUUGAAGUUGGCUUCCGGUUCAUGAUGGGCAUGGUGAG